GCAUCGAUGGUCUAGUGGUAUGACUAAGGCCUUCCAAGCCUUAAGCUCGGGUUCAAAUCCCGGUCGAUGCA
rnacentral:tRNA from 1 species